rfam:Hordeum vulgare subsp. vulgare, WGS project CAJW01000000 data, contig: morex_contig_169857
AUGGAUGAAAAGCAUUUAAAGGAUACCUGAUACAAUCUUCCUAAAGUAAAAUUUUCAUUUCCUGCUUGUGGUGUCAUUAGGAAGUUCUGCAAGUCCCAGUUGAGCAAAUAUCCUU